GUGGGGAAUAUUGGACAAUGGGCGCAAGCCUGAUCCAGCCAUGCCGCAUGAGUGAUGAAGGCCCUAGGGUUGUAAAGCUCUUUCACCGGUGAAGAUAAUGACGGUAACCGGAGAAGAAGCCCCGGCUAACUUCGUGCCAGCAGCCGCGGUAAUACGAAGGGGGCUAGCGUUGUUCGGAAUUACUGGGCGUAAAGCGCACGUAGGCGGACAUUUAAGUCAGGGGUGAAAUCCCGGGGCUCAACCCCGGAACUGCCUUUGAUACUGGGUGUCUGGAGUAUGGAAGAGGUAAGUGGAAUUCCGAGUGUAGAGGUGAAAUUCGUAGAUAUUCGGAGGAACACCAGUGGCGAAGGCGGCUUACUGGUCCAUUACUGACGCUGAGGUGCGAAAGCGUGGGGAGCAAACAGGAUUAGAAACCCGUGUAGUCC
rnacentral:rRNA from 1 species